rnacentral:rRNA from 1 species
AGAGUUUGAUCCUGGCUCAGAACGAACGCUGGCGGCAGGCUUAACACAUGCAAGUCGAACGCUCGUAGCAAUACGGGAGUGGCAGACGGGUGAGUAACGCGUGGGAACAUACCCUCCGGUUCGGAAUAGCUCAGGGAAACUUGGAUUAAUACCGGAUACGGCUGAGAGGCGAAAGAUUUAUCGCCGGAGGAUUGGCCCGCGUUCGAUUAGCUUGGUUGGUGAGGUAACGGCUCACCAAGGCGAUGAUCGAUAGCUGGUCUGAGAGGAUGAUCAGCCACAUUGGGACUGAGACACGGCCCAAACUCCUACGGGUGGCAGCAGUGGGGAANAUUGGACCAUGGGCGCAAGCCUGAUCCAGCCAUGCCGCGUGAGUGAUGACGGGCUUAAGGGUGUAAAGCUCCUUCGCUCGGGACAAUAUUGACCGGAACGAAGAAUAAAA